rnacentral:rRNA from 1 species
UACGGAGGGGGCUAGCGUUGUUCGGAAUCAUUGGGCGUAAAGGGCGCGUAGGCGGCCGAUCAAGUCGGAGGUGAAAUCCCUCGGCUCAACUGAGGAAUUGCCUUCGAUACUGUUCGGCUUGAGUCCUGGAGAGGGUAGCGGAAUUCCCGGUGUAGCGGGUGAAAUGCGUAGAGACCGGGAAGAACACCAGUGGCGAAGGCGGCUACCUGGACAGGUACUGACGCUGAAGCGCGAAAGCUAGGGGAGCAAACAGGAUUAGAUACC